CACUAUCACUAUCAUUAUUAAAAUUAAAUUAAUCAAUUUUCUGAAGUAACUGAACAAUUUACAUAACUAAUCAAGCAUUUCAUCAUAAAGGGAGGUGACCCUGAGUUGUCAUGCCACCGGAACGCAAAUUCUCACAAAUCCAAUCAAACUUUAAACACCUAUCUGCCACCACAGGGCCAAGCCAUCUAGAUUCAGUAACACUGCUAGAAGAGUGGUCACCAGGGAGUGAUUAUUUUUUACCCCAACUACUAAUGAAGACAAACUACUGAGGGUUGGAGUGACUGCAAUCUGCACAAGUAGAAGAGCUUCCCCUACUGAGGAAAUCAUAGAUCCAUGAAAGAGAAGUAAUGUAAUAUACAAAAGGACUCUUAUUGGCAGAGUUUUCUGACAGAUGCGGGGUUUAAAAAGCAAAGCUGGGAAAGUGGAGGUGAGCGGAGCCACCAAAGGAAAGCUACAGACUGGAGUCACAGGAAGACAGGAGGGGCAGUACAUGGAACAGGAUGAUCACCAUGGCAUUCCUGAACUCAGAAGUACCUGAGUUCCGAUAGAGCUGAAAGGUUUCCUCAGAAGUCCACUCAACAGCCUCUUUUCCACAUUCCCAUAUUCCAAGAGGAAAUUGGAAAUAUGAAUCUGUGGCCACACAGAGAGAUCAGAAUUGGAGAUGUAGGUUGGUAGUCCUCCACAAAGAAGAUUUACAGCCAAAACACUAGUUCUCCCAAAGAAGACGAUACAAAAAGAAACCUAAGAACAGCCAGAAAAAUAAAGGCCAGUGAAGAGAGUGAUAAAAUUUCAGAUUGAGGCUCUCAGGGGUCUUCUAGUCCAACCCCCACCUGAAAAAUGAGCACCUCUACAGCAAGUGGUAUCAAACUCAAAUAGAAAGAGGGGCCAGUAAUCCAUACAUCAGGAUCCCUGUGAGCAGCACACUGACUAUUUUCAGUUAUUCUGUUCAAUAUUUCCAAUUACAUUUGAAUCUGGUUCAGGUCGCGCUGAGGACUCAGGAGUGUUGUGGGCCACGUGUUUGACCCCUCAGCUCUAGAGCAGCUCUGACCAGCAGCCACCCAUACAGGGCUUGCUGUUCUCUAGUAAGAAAGAACUCAAGGAGCAGUCAGAGGCAGGAGAAAGCCUACAAGAGUGUGACACAAAGGGAAGACAGUCAGGAGGAACAAGUACUCAACAGCAUCAGUUUCCACAGACGUCAAAGAAAAAAGCGACUGAUCUGGAGGAUCAAGAAGUGACUUUACCUUUGAGGACUGAGGGUAUGUAUACAGGAUAGCAAAAGCUCUUCUCUCUCACUCCAAGAGAAAAACAGUCCAAUGUGUUUUUCACUUAGUGUACCAUUAAACACAAAAUAAAACUGCC